UACAGAGGUGGCAAGCGUUGUUCGGAAUUACUGGGCGUAAAGGGCGCGUAGGCGCCAUCUAAGUCAGACGUGAAAUCCCCCGGCUUAACCUGGGAACUGCGUCUGAUACUGGACGGCUUGAGUAUGGGAGAGGGAUGUAGAAUUCCAGGUGUAGCGGUGAAAUGCGUAGAUAUCUGGAGGAAUACCGGUGGCGAAGGCGGCAUCCUGGACCAUUACUGACGCUGAUGCGCGAAAGCUAGGGGAGCAAACGGG
rnacentral:rRNA from 1 species